AUGACUACUGUUUUUUGGAGGACUGACAUCACCCAUGCUAUGCACACAGCACCAUGCCUGGCACAUGGUAGGGUUCAGUGGUUUCGGUUAAUCAUUGUUCCUAUAGCUCCCCCUGUCCCUAGCAGGAGCAGGAGCAGGAACAGCAGUAGCAGUAGCACAGCAGAACUGGACAUCUGAAGCUAAAUACUAGAGAGUGGAUCGCACCCGGACACACAUACACAGACACACAUGCACACUGACUUCACUGCUCAUCCUGCAUGAUGACAACCUCCCAACAUCAUCAUCACCAACCCCACAUUCAGUAGGGAGCAGACGGUGGUGACAGCAGGGCAGCAGGCCUGCCCACCUAUCCUCUUCACACAUAGGCCAAGCUUGGCCUCUUAUGGGUCACUCACCCACUCAGGCUUCCCAUACCCUCUUCACAGCAAAACAACCAGCAAUAACACCCAAAGACCCAAAGGCCAGCUCAUCUCCUGAGUCCCCCUCCAGGAUCAGGGCUUUGAUUCUCCUCUCCAAAUGCUAUCCCCCCUAACCCUGCAGCUCCCAGACUCCCAAUGGACCACUCCUGCAGGUUUGGGGCUGAGUUGGGUCUGGGAGGAGCAUUGCAAAGGGCAUGGGCCUCCCCUGCUUCCCAGAGGCCAGACAUCUCUUCGUAUCACUCUCGUGUCAGUACAAAGGAAGUCUGCAAAGGAAGAGGAAGACCUUGGAAAUUGGCUUGUUUUCUUGUUUCAAGCCCCAGCAAACUAAAACGAGUGACUGGAGAGGCCUACAGUUGUGCUACGAAACAACCGCGCAGGGGAUUAGGGGGAGGCAGAGCUUUGCGGGAUCCUGCUGGAGGACAGGAAAAGAGGAAGAGCAUUGAAAAGAGGAGCUGUGUGUUUCCCUGCAAGUCCCUCAGCCUUCCGCGUCCUUGCCGAGCCCUCCGGAGGACGAGCUCUUGACCAGACCUUUGCUCUUCCCUCUGGAAGCAGGGGACGCCAGGGAGUCGGAAGCGCAAAGGAAGCAGUUCCCAGUGACACCCCGCUGCUGGGCGGGUACCCUCACAGCUCUGGAGCUGGCGUUCCUCCUCCGCUGUGGAAUGGAGGAAACUAGUCGUCUUUGAGAGGGUGAAUGAGGUCAUUCACAGUCAAGGACUCGGAAUAACGUGGGCACAUAGUGAAUUUCACGAAAAAUGAUGGAGUUAUUAUUUAGCCUUAUCUUAAUAAAACACCAAUGCUGUGGAGA